GACGAACGCUGGCGGCGUGCCUAAUACAUGCAAGUAGAACGCAGUUGCGAACGGGUGAGUAAUGUGUAGGUAAAUGCCUCAUAGCGGGGAGCAACUAUUGGAAACGCUAGCUAAUACCGCAUAUUUUGAGAUGGACCUGAGUUGUAUUGGGUAGUUGGUGAGGUAAAGGCUCACCAAGGCGAAGAUACAUAGCCGGCCUGUGAGGGUGAUCCGCCACCCUUGGAAUGAGACACGGGCCAGACUCCUACGGGGGGCAUCCUUAGGGAAUCAUCGGCAAUUGACGGAAAUCUGACCGCACAACGCCGCGUGAUUGAAAAAGGUUUUCGGGUCGUAAAGCUCUGUUGUUAGAGAAGCGGUAACUAACCAGAAAGCGACGGCUAACUACGUGCCAGCAGCCGCGGUAAUAC
rnacentral:rRNA from 1 species